GUACGUAGGGUGCGAGCGUUGUCCGGAAUUACUGGCGUAAAGGAGCUCGUAGGUGGUUUGUCGCGUUGUUCGUGAAAACCGGAGGCUCAACCUCUGGCGUGCGGGCGAUACGGGCAGGACUUGAGUACUGCAGGGGAGACUGGAAUUCCUGGUGUAGCGGUGGAAUGCGUAGAUAUCGUAAGGAAGACCAGUGGCGAAGGCGGGUCUCUGGACAGUUCCUGACGCUGAGGCACGAAGGCCAGGGGAGCAAACGGG
rnacentral:rRNA from 1 species